AGAGACAAUCUGAAAUUGCCUUUCAUACCAUUUUGCACUUAUUAUGAAUAUUUAUUCGGUUUGCCCUUUAUGGCAAGUCUGCAACUCAAGAACAUGGAGGGGAGUGAAUUGAGAAAUGGUCCUUAACGUCGUCUCUUUUGAGGCAUUCUAAUACUUUAAGAUGGUUUAAAAAAUUAAAAAGUACCACACCCAGGAUUUCACAUGUGAGCUUGAAAUGAAGCCAAGUCAAUCAGUGACGAGAACACCCGAUGAUAUGAUUCUCUGUAAGCCAAGACAGCUUCAUAGAAGACCCCGAUUUUAGCUACUAAUUGUCCAUGUUUCAUCACACCUGCAAAGACCCUCGUUAAAUCAACAGCAUCACAAAUUUUUGAAGCAUCCAGAUUCUUGAGGCCUUAGUCUUUUCAACAAUCACUACACAUCUCACAUCUGGACGGGUGGAACUCCUAUAACUUCUUAUUAGCUGUAGAUAGAGUGAAAUCUCUGUCCCCAUUUACGAAACUUUCUUGACUUUAAGAAAGCCGACUUCAUAAAACUUAGGGAAGUGCUGGGUGAGAUCCCAUGGACAGUAAUACUAAAAGGAAAGGGAGUUCAUGAUGGCUGGGAGUUUGUUAAGAGGGAGAUAGUAAAAGCACAACGUCAGGCAAUACCAAUGAGACGGAAACAUGGAAGGUGCCUAAAGAAGCCAGGGUGGCUAUCUAAAGAACUUUUAACUGAGUUAAGAUUUAAAAAGGAUGUGUACAAAAAUGGAAAAGGGGAAACCACCAAAGAGGAAUUCAAACAAAUAGCCAGCACGUGUAGACACAAGUCAGAAAAGCUAAAGCACAGAAUGAACUCAGGCUUGCUAGAGAGGUUAAAAGCAACAAAAAAGGCUUUUAUGGGUAUGUUCGUAGCAAAAGGAAGAACAAAGAAACAGUGGGGUCACUCAGAGGAGAAGAUGGUGAAAUGCAAACAGGGGACACAGAAAGGGCUGAACUCCUCAAUGCCUUCUUUGCCUCAGUCUUCUCCGAUAAAGAAAACAAUGCCCGACCUGAAGAAUUUGGAGCAAAUGAUUCAGCAGAGGAAACACAGCCCAGAAUAACUAAGGAGAUAGUACAAGAAUACUUGGCUAGUUUAGAUGUAUUCAAGUCUCCAGGGCCAGAUGAACUGCAUCCAAGAGUAUUAAAAGAACUGGCAGAUGUGAUCUCAGAACCACUGGCAGUCAUCUUUGAGAAUUCCUGGAGAACAGGCGAAGUCCCGGCAGACUGGAGGAGGGCAAAUGUUGUCCCUAUUUUCAAAAAGGGAAAAGAGAGGACCCAAAUAAUUACCGCCCAGUCAGUCUGACAUCAAUACCAGGGAAGAUUCUGGAGCAGAUCAUUAAGCAAACAGUCUGUGAGCACCUAGAAAGGAAUGCUGUGAUCACCAAUAGUCGGCAUGGAUUUCUGAAAAAUAAGUCAUGUCAGACUAACCUGAUCUCGUUUUUUGACAGAAUUACAAGCCUGGUAGAUGAAGGGAACGCAGUGGAUGUAGCCUACCUUGAUUUCAGCAAGGCAUUUGACAAGGUGCCCCAUGAUAUUCUUGUAAAGAAGCUGGUAAAAUGCGGUCUUGACUAUGCUACCACUCAGUGGAUUUGUAACUGGCUGACUGACCGAACCCAAAGGGUGUUCAUCAAUGGUUCCUCUUCAUCCUGGAGAAGAGUGACUAGUGGGGUGCCACAGGGUUCUGUCUUGGGCCCGGUCUUAUUCAACAUCUUUAUCAACGACUUGGAUGAUGGACUCAAGGGCAUCCUGAUCAAAUUUGCGGACGACACCAAACUGGGAGGGGUGGCUAACACCCCAGAGGACAGGAUCACACUUCAAAACGACCUUGACAGAUUAGAGAACUGGGCAAAAACAAACAAGAUGAAUUUUAACAGGGAGAAAUGUAAAGUAUUGCACUUGGGCAAAAAAUGAGAGGCACAAAUACAAGAUGGGUGACACCUGGCUUGAGAGCAGUACAUGUGAAAAGGAUCUAGGAGUCUUGGUUGACCACAAACUUGACAUGAGCCAACAGUGUGACGCGGCAGCUAAAAAGCCAAUGCAAUUCUGGGCUGCAUCAAUAGGAGUAUAGCAUCUAGAUCAAGGGAAGUAAUAGUGCCACUGUAUUCUGCUCUGGUCAGACCUCACCUGGAGUACUGUGUCCAGUUCUGGGCACCACAGUUCAAGAAGGACACUGACAAACUGGAACGUGUCCAGAGGAGGGCAACCAAAAUGGUCAAAGGCCUGGAAACGAUGCCUUAUGAGGAACGGCUAAGGGAGCUGGGCAUGUUUAGCCUGGAGAAGAGGAGGUUAAGGGGUGAUAUGAUAGCCAUGUUCAAAUAUAUAAAAGGAUGUCACAUAGAGGAGGGAGAAAGGUUGUUUUCUGCUGCUCCAGAGAAGCGGACACGGAGCAGUGGAUCCAAACUACAAGAAAGAAGAUUCCACCUAAACAUUAGGAAGAACUUCCUGACAGUAAGAGCUGUUCGACAGUGGAAUUUGCUGCCAAGGAGUGUGGUGAAGUCUCCUUCUUUGGAGGUCUUUAAGCAGAGGCUUGACAACCAUAUGUCAGGAGUGCUCUGAUGGUGUUUCCUGCUUGGCAGGGGGUUGGACUCGAUGGCCCUUGUAGUCUCUUCCAACUCUAUGAUUCUAUGAUUCUAUGAAACAGAAACCCAACCAAAACAACAGGAUUCUUUUGUGGCAGCAAACACCAUGUUGUGCAGUAGAGAGACUUGCUUACAAUAGAUUCAUCAUAUUUUUACGGUCCUCCCAAGUGAUGAUGGCUACAAAUGCUAGUUCUGCUUACUACCUUUUUGUACCUCCUCCAAAAAUGUUAGGACAAUGUGCAGGGUUUUCUCCCAUAUUAUCCUCUCAAAAAUACUAUGAGGUAGGUUAGGCUGAGAGAUUGUCACUGGCCCAAAGGUCACCCAGCAGACUUAAUGGCUGAUCAGGAAUGUGAAUCUUCUCUUCCCCUCCCCCUUACUCUUUCUGCUUAUCAGAGUUUGGGAUUAGGAAGUGGAUAGACAGCUGUGCUUGUGCAGGCAUCUGAAAUGUUAUUUUAAUAGUAUGAAGUACAAAGUCUGCCACUUGAAUAAUAACAAGUAUCAGAUGAAGGAGGAAUCGGAAAGAAAGAGAUCUGAAGCUGAACAUAGGAUUAUCGAGAGUCAGAAAUACAGCUAUAAAAAUGGAACAUAAAAAUCCAUCAAUGUAUUAAUUAGGUGUUAUGCUUUUAACAGGGCAGAGAAGUAUUAAAAGCAUUCUUAAUAAGGAUGAUUAAAAGCACAUAUUUUUAAUCAUCUUUAUUAAUCACAGAAGUAUGAGAGUUGUAAGUGGCAUCACCAGGUAGGGAAGAUGAGGCAUUCUUGCUUCUUUACCUGCCACACAAAGAAACCGUACUAACAAGAUAGGCAUCUACAACUUUUCAGAGUGUCACUUAGCCCAUUCCCAGCACUGACAAAUGUCCUUGUGUUGGCUGUGUCUGGAAGUGCUGGUGAUACAGGAACAUGAAUGCUGUUGUGGCCCAACUGAACUUGGCUGGAAAAAAAUCUCAUCAACUCUUUUCCAUAUGGCAAUAACAAUUCCGAGUUGCAUCAGUCAAAAUAAAGCUUCAGUCUCUAUGCAAAAUCAAUAUUUUGCCUAUGUACAUUACUCUAGGCCUAGAGGCAAAAGACUUGCUUGCUAGGCUGGGAUUUUAAUUUAAUCUUUGACAGAUUUUGUUACUGAACAUGUUCUGUAAAUCACAUUGGUCCCACUCACAUUGGUGCAUAUUUCAUUGUAAAUAAAUCACACUGGAAAGUGUUUUGAAUUGCAAACAGAAUGGGAUUAGCCACUGCCUUUUGGGGGUUGUUAUUGUUUCUGCUCACAGCCCUAAACAGAGAUCAAAUGAGCACUGGAAAUUCCAAGGAUUAGGUGCCUUCCAACAAAUUUCACUGCAAACGCCAGAAUUUUAAUUUUUAUUUAGCUGGUGGCUUCACAGAUAACCUUUGGAAGGCAAGCGGCUUAGGCUGCUGAGGCCCAAAGAUGCAGCCUUGGCCUCAAUCCAAGCUGUCCUCUCUUAGGGCAGCAAAAGUCGCUCAACACAAGGCAUGGCAUACACUUGUUCUUUAUUAGGAGUGGAGGGUUAUUGGUUUGUUUUUGUUUUUUUAAAUGUGUUUUGUGUUCUCAUUUUGUAUUUUUACGUUGUGCACUGCCCUGUGAUCUUUGAAUGAAGGGCAGUAUACAAAUUUAAUAAAUAAUAAAUUAUUACCUAUUAGGGAUGCUUGCUGCUGAUCUUGGAAAAAAAACAUUUGGUGACAGGGUGGUGGGAUAGCCAGUACAGAAAUACUGUUGCUAUUCUGCUUUGCUAUUUUCCUGGUUGUGCUAUUUUCCAAAGUAUAUAAUCUUAGCCAAUGAAACAGGAAAAGUGGCUACAGCUGUUAAUACUGGUCAUUGACUGUAAGAAAUUGAUUGACUACAGCUGUCACCAGGCUGUUGAGAAUUGUUUUUGUCUCUUCUCUCUCUCUCCUCCUACCCUUGACAUUGUUCCUCAUUUUUCAGACUUUAGCAUCAGUGCUAGUCAACAUGCAGUUUUAAACGUAUGUAUUAAAACAUUGUGUGCUUGGGAUUAAAUGUUUUCUUGCUCAGGUGUUAGCCUUUUGAGCUAGCAGUCUUAAUCAUGGGUCUUCCAUUCUGCAACUGGAAUUGCAGUGGAAGGGAAAUUAAGUGUUCAACUCCAUCACUACCAUGUAUUGAGCAGGCUGGAAGUCUGGAUGUAUUUGAGUAUAUAAUGUCAGCAAUGUUUAAUACUGUACAUGGCAAGGCUUGCAGGCAGUGAUCCUUGUUGUGUUUCUGGGGGUGCUAUAAACACCCGAGGGUGUGCCUGUUUUCAUUAAUGAAAAGUUGGGAGAUGAAGUGCUAAUUGAGGCACUACUGGAAAUGAGUUUUCUAGAACUGAUGUGAUCACUUUUCUCCUUCCCUCAUUUUUUUGGCAGGAGACUGAUUGGUGGAUGUGUGAAGCUGUGGUCCAGUAGCACAAUGUUAAAGCAGAGAGAGUGUUUCUUGAUGUGGCUUUGCUUGUGGAACACCAAGUGACUGGAUUGCUUUUUAUGAGGCCAAAUCUGAGUGUUUUGGCCUUACCAAUAUACAUAGCUGAGGAUGGGAGGAAAUGUAGAUUUGGUCAUCAUCUUAGUCCUUCCCAGCAAUCUUUUGUUUAGAUCCCCACAGUGGUAUCAACCAGUGAUCUUGUAGUAAAUAGUAAUCUUACUGGUAAAAUCUUUUAAUCCCUUAAAAUGUCUAUUACUUGACUCUUACUUCCUUGGGGAAUCAUUUAAUUAGCCAGCCUGUGGUGGAAUCAUCACGAAUCCAAUUCCUAUUGGAUGUUUAAGGCAGUGCUGGCUCUCAUGUGCACAUUUCCUAAAGUAACUUUGUAAUACCGCAUUAUUCGCCGGCAAAAACCUGCUCCAGAAACCUGUGGGAAGGAACCAAGUGUUUUCACUGAAGGAAGACUUCCAGGGAAGCACAAGAAUUGGUAAGAUAAAAGUAAACAUUUAAUGCCACUAUAUUUUGAUAUCUUUUAAACAUCAUAUCUUUGACAAUAUGUUUCACACCUCAUAUACCACAAAAGGUAAGAGAUUCUUUUUUUAAACCAGCAAACAGUGAACUUUACAUUUUAAUGGCAAAAGGCUUGACAUAUUCAUUCAAUCAGUUUCCAUUUUGUGUGUGUUUCUCGGUUACUUUUCCAUUCUUGUCCUACUGCUGUCUGGGUCCACCCCCUCCCUGUUGGUUCUUUUUCCAGCAAAGCGGAGGUGAGGAACCUCAGAGGCUCUGGGGUCAAGUGCUGCCCCCCCAGCCCACUCUGUCUGGCUCCCAGGACUCUUCUCAGGCCACAUCCCCUCUCUCUAGGUCAACCCUCGCCAGCCCUCCUUGAGUGAUCUUGCUUGACUGGAAUGGGUCUUUGAACCCCGACAGUGGCUCUUGGUUGCCUGGAUCAAGGAAGGUGGGUACGUUUGCAUGGAAGCUAGCAUGUACAAAGGUAACAUUUACAUUUGUCUCUUCGGCCACUUUUGUCUCUGGCCCCACCCAUUGCUGGCAUGUGGCUGACCCCCUGGAAGGUUGCACAGAUGGGAAUGUGGCUCUGGGUCUGGAAGAAGUCCCCCACCCCUGUAAUGGAGCUUAGGUGAUAUAGCAGACGAUUUGUGUGUAGAUCUGUCUUCUUGUGGAACUUCUCGUGACUGACUCAGUAGAAGUGAUUCCCCCUAGCAGGGGUCUCUCUCCAACCUUACGUGACUUUAUUAUACCACGGUUACUAUGGAAAAGGACAUAGCCACAGACAGAAUGAAAUGGAUUCAGCAAAUGUACACUUCAAUGCAUAGCACUUAGAUAAGCAUUUCCAAUCAUGAUGGUUAAAUAAAUUAUAAAGUACAAGCAAUUCUAUAAAGCAAGAACAUCCUGAGUUUACAAAUAAAUUAUGUCCUUCAUACGUCAAAUAGGUGAUGGAUGUCAGAUAGCAGUUUCAGCUAGGGAAAUUGGGGAAGGAGCUGAAAUUUAGAAAAAGUAGUAUCUAUGUGUACAUAAAAUCUUUAGGCGAGUGAGUGUUUUAUUCAGAUACCCAUUCACACGCAUAUUAUACAAUAUAUAAGGUGGCUAAAUUCAUAUAGAGAGUAUAUGUCAUAUAGAUAUAGCUGAAACUGCUUUAAGCACCACUUUUAUUACCAUCAUUUUAUUAUAAAGUAUGCUCCAGAGUUGAGUAGGGCCACUCAAAGUUUUACAAAAUGCAUCCUCUCCUCCAUCCUUGGGAGAUGUUGAAAGAUCAGUUUGAAUGGGUGUUGUUCGGGCUCAAAUAACCUACCAUGGAUUUUUCCUGCAACAGGAACAUCUUGGACCACCUUGAUCAAGCAGGCUGGAAGUUAAUGCUUGAAUCUGAGUACCAGGAAUUCAGUAGCAAAAGGUAUUCUCAAGAUGGUACGUAAAAGAAGUUCAUAUCAACUCCACUGGCAAAUUUGUGGCCAAGUUUGGAUAGUCUGACAACAGAAGUUUGAGAAACAUGCCACAUCUGCUUAGUUGGCCAGAGGCAGAUGCUCCAAUAAAAUAAAAUAAAAACUUUCAUCUGGAAAUAGUUUAGAAAAAAAUUGGUUGCUCUCAUUUCUUGACUAUUAGCUAGAGCAGAGGAAAAAUUCUAUGAAGCAUCAUGGGUGCUCAGCUAUUAUUUUGCAACCUUCGUGCAAGGUGGAAGUUAUUAGCUAAAAAUUAGUUAGGAAAUUGUCGAAUGAGCCAAAGAAUCACAGCCAAGGCUUCUCUGGGCUCUGAAGCAUAUGAUUGCCAAGUGCAGUCACCAGAGCAUAUGGGCCACUGCUUUCCUCGCUGACAUCUGUGGUAGCGAGUUACCAUUUAAUGAGAGUUUGCUUAAUGUUUUACAUGUUGCUUAUGAUCAACAAUAACCAUUUUAGAUGUUGCUUGCAUGUGUCUUUCAUCAUAUAUGCCAUUUGCCAUAGGCACAUCACUGUUCCAUGCCUUGAUGCCAAAAUGUCUGUGGUACAGCUCUUUCCCUCAACAUAGAUCAGGGAAAUAUUUUGUGAGCUACUUUAGCUCAUCUGCUUUCCUUCAGUCCUCUGCCAAUUAGAGAAGGCCUGCUUGGGGGCUCAAAAGGCACAGGGGUGUUGUUUCAUUUUAUAAGGAGCAAAUAGUCACGCUCCAUUUUGAUCACACAUUAUCUGUUUAUAUUAUACAUAUAGUGGCAGAAUUAAUCCUAGAGGUCUAGAGUGCACCUGACCUUAAAUUAUUGACACCUAAAUGCAUUUUUCUAUUUAUUUUUAUAAAUGUUUAAACCAUUUUUCAAAGGUUUAUACGAGGCAACUACAGCCACACAGCUUUAUAGGCAGGAGAACAUGCAUAGAUAAUAACACAGCCCUCGUUUUAAAAUAUAGUUUCUAUAAAAUACAGUGGCAUAAAUGGCCAGCCUGCUGGUGAGUGGGGGCUGUAAAGGUUUUAUGGACAGAGUUUUGCAAUGAGCGUCAUAAGUUAUGCUUUGCUACUUGUAAGUAGCUGCCCUACCUCAAACACAUAAAACAUAGCUGUACCACCACACAGAUUUCCAUCGGUUUAUCUAUGUACCCUCCUAACCUUAUUGUUUUUAACUCAGCAAAGUGAAAAGAUGUGUGUGCUAUGGCUGUUACUUGUUUUCUAAUGUCAGUGUUUAGGAAUGCAAAUAAGGAAAAUUGGGGGGAGGGUUUGUUUGACAUAGACAGCAAACAAAAAAAUACCAUACUAAUCUACAACAUUGAAUAUGAUGUGGACAUAUGAAUGGUAUUUCCACCACCCUCCUCUACCCCUCAGGAGCUGCAUUUUGCCCCAUGGGGAAAAUAGUUUCGGAUGUUUUCUGUGUUUAGAAAAUAGUUUGGGGGAAAGUGUUACAUCCCCCAAUUCCCAAAGAGGAAGCACUGGGGCACCCAAACACCACCUUUAGCCUUCUAAGACACUGCCCAAUCCUCCAUCAUCACAUCUCAUUUGACCCUAGGAUUUUGUGCUUCCAAGUUAUGCCUGUAAUUCAGCAAGUGACACUUGCACAUGAUGCCUUCUUGGUUUGAUCUAGCGAACUUAUCUUAAGCAGCACAUGUGUUCUUACCAGGCACCAAGAGGCCAUGAAGUAGCUUUGCAAAU